CCUAACCCCCGUAGAGCCGUGCAAGAACCUCAUGAGUCACGAACUUACAGUCGCUGAGAUGACUUCAGAAAUGUGUAUUGAAAGAUGAAUUAUUUCAUGUCAGAUUAACUUUAUUGUUGAGUGAAAUCCAUACUUUUGUUGCAUAAUCCUGGUCCAAACGCGGCUAAUCAACAGAAUCCUGGUCCAAAUGCGGCUAAUCAACAGAUUAACAACGAUCAUCGGAGAUUUGUUCUGAAGCUCGCCGAUGUCGUUGGCAAUGCUCUGAUCCUUGCAGCACUUGCUUGCCUGUUUCAUGAGGGUUGGGUCAAAAUUACAGACUACACGGCAAUGGUGGGUUCGGCCGUCUCCCUCCUGGCUAGUACUGGAGUCCUGAUAGUAGAUCGCAAACAACACGAUCACAACAGUGAUUGGAUGAAACUUUGCAAAUGGAACUUCCUCGAAACGACGUUCCACGUGGUCACUGCCGGCUGGGUGAUGAGCAGCUGCAUCAAGUCUCGGGCUGAUGAGAUGGAGGACUUGAGCGACAUAACAAGUAUGUCCACCUUAGGCCAGUGUAGCGAAAUUAUGGAAGCCCUCAUGGCUUGUGCGUCCCUGGUGACAUCUGGAGCAUUCUGUAUUAAGCAUUGCUUGAAACGUAGGAGACAUAGGAGAAAUUAGUAAUAAUUGAUACGAUAUUGUCAUAGCGACUGUUUCAGGACAGCCAUGUUCAAAUAUUUCCAAAAGUGAAGACCAUGUAGCCAAGACAUGUAAGACUUAAAUGCAACAAUAUACUAUUCACACUUUGCUAAGGAUCAAAUCAUUGAUUCAACAGAAACUAUGA